UACGGAAGGCAGCAGUGGGGAAUAUUGCACAAUGGGCGCAAGCCUGAUGCAGCCAUGCCGCGUGUAUGAAGAAGGCCUUCGGGUUGUAAAGUACUUUCAGUCGUGAGGAAGGUGUUAAGGUUAAUAACCUUAGCAAUUGACGUUAGCGACAGAAGAAGCACCGGCUAACUCCGUGCCAGCAGCCGCGGUAAUACGGAGGGUGCGAGCGUUAAUCGGAAUUACUGGGCGUAAAGGGCGCGCAGGCGGUUAAUUAAGUUGGAUGUGAAAUCCCCGGGCUUAACCUGGGAAUGGCAUUCAAGACUGGUUAGCUAGAGUCUUGUAGAGGGGGUAGAAUUCCAUGUGUAGCGGUGAAAUGCGUAGAGAUGUGGAGGAAUACCGGUGGCGAAGGCGGCCCCUGGACAAAGACUGACGCUCAUGUGCGAAAGCGUGGGGAGCAAAC
rnacentral:rRNA from 1 species